UGUGAAGGGAAAACAUGAACAAGGUUUCCGUUGGUGAACCAGCGGAGGUACCGAGU
rnacentral:rRNA from 1 species